rnacentral:lncRNA from 1 species
GGACAAACUUUGCACUAUGAAAACUCAAGAUGCAUGAGGUGCUAGCGAAAGAUGUUUGCACUGUCACCCUCUCAAUAAAGAAGACAAGCUGGAAGGGAUGAUAGAUAAAUAGUUCAUAAAGAAAAAUGAGAUGUCUUUGGCAAACCUAUUCCUAGCAUUAGAGGAUACUGUUCUUUUCAAUGUCGAGACUGAGACAACUACAAAAAGAUGGAGGGAG